CUAGGUCUAAUCAGUGUCAAAACCCUGCUAUACCAUAUCCACGGUAACAGUCUAGCUAGGUCUAAUCAGUGUCAAAACCCUGCUAUACCAUAUCCACGGUAACAGUCCAGCUAGGUCUAGGUGUAAUCAGUGUCAGAACCCUGCUAUACCGUAUCCACGGUAACAGUCCAGCUAGGUCUAGGUGUAAUCAGUGUCAGAACCCUGCUAUACCAUAUCCACGGUAACAGUCCAGCUAGGUGUAAUCAGUGUCAGAACCCUGCUAUACCGUAUCCACGGUAACAGUCUAGCUAGGUCUAGGUGUAAUCAGUGUCAGAACCCUGCUAUACCGUAUCCACGGUAACAGUCUAGCUAGGUCUAGGUGUAAUCAGUGUCAGAACCCUGCUAUA